rnacentral:piRNA from 1 species
UUAGUCUCACUCUUUUUCCCA